AGCAGUAGCCACGGUAAUACGAAGGGUGCAAGCGUUACUCGGAAUUACUGGGCGUAAAGCGUGCGUAGGUGGUGGUUUAAGUCCGUUGUGAAAGCCCUGGGCUCAACCUGGGAAUUGCAGUGGAUACUGGGUCACUAGAGUGUGGUAGAGGAUAGUGGAAUUUUUGGUGUAGCAGUGAAAUGCGUAGAGAUCGGAAGGAACAUCUGUGGCGAAGGCGACUAUCUGGGCCAACACUGACACUGAGGCACGAAAGCGUGGGGAGCAAACAGGAUUAGAUACCCGUGUAGUCCCUGUCUCUUAUAC
rnacentral:rRNA from 1 species